GAGGGAAAGGUGAAAAGCACCCCGGAAGGGGAGUGAAACAGUUCCUGAAACCGUGUGCCUACAAGUAGUUAGAGCCCGUUAAUGGGUGAUAGCGUGCCUUUUGUAGAAUGAACCGGCGAGUUACGAUUUGUUGCAAGGUUAAGCGGAAAAAGCGGAGCCGUAGCGAAAGCGAGUCUGAAUAGGGCGCAUAAGUAACAGGUCGUAGACCCGAAACCAGGUGAUCUACCCAUGUCCAGGAUGAAGGUAAGGUAAUACUUACUGGAGGUCCGAACCCACGCACGUUGAAAAGUGCGGGGAUGAGGUGUGGGUAGCGGAGAAAUUCCAAUCGAACUUGGAGAUAGCUGGUUCUCUCCGAAAUAGCUUUAGGGCUAGCCUCGAGGUAAAGAGUCAUGGAGGUAGAGCACUGUUUGGACUAGGGGCCCUUCUCGGGUUACCGAAUUCAGAUAAACUCCGAAUGCCAUGUACUUAUACUCGGGAGUCAGACUGCGAGUGAUAAGAUCCGUAGUCGAAAGGGAAACAGCCCAGACCACCAGUUAAGGUCCCCAAAUAUAUGUUAAGUGGAAAAGGAUGUGGGGUUGCUUAGACAACCAGGAUGUUGGCUUAGAAGCAGCCACCAUUGAAAGAGUGCGUAAUAGCUCACUGGUCGAGUGACCCCGCGCCGAAAAUGUACCGGGGCUAAACAUAUUACCGAAACUGUGGAUGAACCUCUUUAGAGGUUCGUGGUAGGAGAGCGUUCUAAGGGCGGUGAAGUCAGACCGGAAGGACUGGUGGAGCGCUUAGAAGUGAGAAUGCCGGUAUGAGUAGCGAAAGAAGGGUGAGAAUCCCUUCCACCGAAUAUCUAAGGUUUCCUGAGGAAGGCUCGUCCGCUCAGGGUUAGUCGGGACCUAAGCCGAGGCCGAUAGGCGUAGGCGAUGGACAACAGGUAGAGAUUCCUGUACCAGUGCUAAUUGUUUAACCGAUGGGGUGACACAGAAGGAUAGGGAAUCGCACGAAUGGAAAUGUGCGUCCAAGCAGUGAGUGUGAGAAGUAGGCAAAUCCGCUUCUCGCGAAGCAUGAGCUGUGAUGGGGAAGGAAAUUAAGUACGGAAGUUCCUGAUUUCACGCUGUCAAGAAAAGCCUCUAGGAAGAGUAGUACUGCCCGUACCGCAAACCGACACAGGUAGAUGAGGAGAGAAUCCUAAGGUGAGCGAGAGAACUCUCGUUAAGGAACUCGGCAAAAUGACCCCGUAACUUCGGGAGAAGGGGUGCUCUAUUAGGGUGCAAGCCCGAGAGAGCCGCAGUGAAUAGGCCCAGGCGACUGUUUAGCAAAAACACAGGUCUCUGCAAAACCGUAAGGUGACGUAUAGGGGCUGACGCCUGCCCGGUGCUGGAAGGUUAAGAGGAGUGCUUAGCUUCGGCGAAGGUACGAAUUGAAGCCCCAGUAAACGGCGGCCGUAACUAUAACGGUCCUAAGGUAGCGAAAUUCCUUGUCGGGUAAGUUCCGACCCGCACGAAAGGCGCAACGAUCUGGGCACUGUCUCAACGAGAGACUCGGUGAAAUUAUAGUACCUGUGAAGAUGCAGGUUACCCGCGACAGGACGGAAAGACCCCGUGGAGCUUUACUGCAACCUGAUAUGGAAUGUUUGUACCGCUUGUACAGGAUAGGUAGGAGCCGAAGAGACGUGUGCGCUAGCAUACGAGGAGGCAAUGGUGGGAUACUACCCUGGCUGUAUGACCAUUCUAACCCGCCACGCUUAGCGCGUGGGGAGACAGUGUCAGGUGGGCAGUUUGACUGGGGCGGUCGCCUCCUAAAGAGUAACGGAGGCGCCCAAAGGUUCCCUCAGAAUGGAUGGAAAUCAUUCGCAGAGUGUAAAGGCACAAGGGAGCUUGACUGCGAGACUGACAAG
rnacentral:rRNA from 1 species